rnacentral:rRNA from 1 species
CACGUAGGGGGCGAGCGUUGUCCGGAUUUAUUGGGCGUAAAGAGCUCGUAGGCGGCUCGGUAAGUCAGGUGUGAAACCUCCAGGCUCAACCUGGAGACGCCACCUGAUACUGCCGUGGCUAGAGUCCGGUAGAGGAGCGUAGAAUUCCUGGUGUAGCGGUGAAAUGCGCAGAUAUCAGGAGGAAUACCAGCGGCGAAGGCGGAUCUCUGGGACGGUACUGACGCUGAGACGCGAAAGCGUGGGGAGCGAACAGG